GACUUGGCAGGCUAUACUCUUUCUGAUUCGGCUGCCACCAAUUGGGUCGUCUUGAGUGUGGGUCCGGUGUCCCUAGUGACAGAUCUUAGGAUUUGGGUACAAGGCAUUAGAUCCAUCGACUUCAAACUUCUUCGUCUCCAUUAUCUUCCCCGAGAAUGAAUACUGGAGCUUCAGCCGAUCCGGCAGUAAACACCGUUUCUUCACCGUUGGCGGCCUUGGCGCUUGCACCGGCGCCUACGGUCGCUUCACCCAAUCAGCCUUCUGGGUCUCAACCUCGGGCUGUCCCUAUUCCUACUGCCGUAGAUCCGGCACCGCUUCCUUCGCCGGUCAACGGUGACACUACAAUGUCCGAUUCACAGCCGGGCACUGUUACUCGGUGCCUGCACCCCUUCGAUCCUCCGCAGCCCGACAGACGUCGCCUUGUUUCAGUGGAUGCUGCGGCAAAGGUGCAAUUGAGUUUGCCCGACUACAUUUCUUUCCUGGUCGACGAUUUGGUUGGCUACCUCGACUUGGCAGGCUAUACUCUUUCUGAUUCGGCUGCCACCAAUUGGGUCGUCUUGAGUGUGGGUCCGGCAUCCCUAGUGACAGAUCUUAGGAUUUGGGUACAAGGCAUUAGAUCCAUCGACUUCAAACUUCUUCGUCUCCAUUAUCUUCCCCGAGAAUGAAUACUGGAGCUUCAGCCGAUCAGGCGGUAAACACCGUUACUUCGCAGUUGGCGGCCUUGGCACUUGCACCGGCACCUACGGUCGCUUCGCCCGAUCAGCCUUCUGGGUCUCAACCUCAGGCUGUCCCUAUUCCUACUGCCGUGGAUCCGGCACCGCUUCUUUUUAUUCCGCUUUUUUUUCCUUUGCCGGUCAACGGUGACACUACAAUGUCCGAUUCACAGCCGGGCACUGUUACUCGGCGCCUGCACCCCCUCGAUCCUCCGCAGCCCGACAGACGUCGCCUUGUUUCAGUGGACGCUGCGGCAAAGGUGCAAUUGAGUUUGCCCGACUACAUUUCUUUCCUGGUCGACGAUUUGGUUGGCUACCUCGACUUGGCAGGCUAUACUCUUUCUGAUUCGGCUGCCACCAAUUGGGUCGUCUUGAGUGUGGGUCCGGCGUCCCUAGUGACAGAUCUUAGGAUUUGGGUACAAGGCAUUAGAUCCAUCGACUUCAAACUUCUUCGUCUCCAUUAUCCUCCCCGAGAAUGAAUACUGGAGCUUCAGCCGAUCAGGCGGUAAACACCGUUACUUCGCCGUUGGCACCUUGGUGCUUGCACCAGCGCCUACGGUCGCUUCGCCCGAUCAGCCUUCUGGGUCUCAACCUCGGGCUGUCCCUAUUCCUACUGCCGUGGAUCCGGCACCGCUUCCUUCGCCGGUCAACGGUGACACUACAAUGUCCGAUUCACAGCCGGGCACUGUUACUCGGUGCCUGCACCCCUUCGAUCCUCCGCAGCCCGACAGACGUCGCCUUGUUUCAGUGGACGCUGCGGCAAAGGUGCAAUUGAGUUUGCCCGACUACAUUUCUUUCCUGGUCGACGAUUUGGUUGGCUACCUCGACUUGGCAGGCUAUACUCUUUCUGAUUCGGCUGCCACCAAUUGGGUCGUCUUGAGUGUGGGUCCGGCAUCCCUAGUGACAGAUCUUAGGAUUUGGGUACAAGGCAUUAGAUCCAUCGACUUCAAACUUCUUCGUCUCCAUUAUCUUCCCCGAGAAUGAAUACUGGAGCUUCAGCCGAUCAGGCAGUAAACACCGUUACUUCACCAUUGGCGGCCUUGGUGCUUGCACCGGCGCCUACGGUCGCUUCGCCCGAUCAGCCUUCUGGGUCUCAACCUCGGGCUGUCCCUAUUCCUACUGCCGUGGAUCCGGCACCGCUUCCUUCGCCGGUCAACGGUGACACUACAAUGUCCGAUUCACAGCCGGGCACUGUUACUCGGCACCUGCACCCCUUCGAUCGUCCGCAGCCCGACAGACGUCGCCUUGUUUCAGUGGACGCUGCGGCAAAGGUGCAAUUGAGUUUGCCCGACUACAUUUCUUUCCUGGUCGACGAUUUGGUUGGCUACCUCGACUUGGCAGGCUAUACUCUUUCUGAUUCGGCUGCCACCAAUUGGGUCGUCUUGAGUGUGGGUCCGGCGUCCCUAGUGACAGAUCUUAGGAUUUGGGUACAAGGCAUUAGAUCCAUCGACUUCAAACUUCUUCGUC
rnacentral:lncRNA from 1 species